AGUGAACGCUGGCGGUAGGCCUAACACAUGCAAGUCGAACGGCAGCACAGGAUAGCUUGCUCUCUGGGUGGCGAGUGGCGGACGGGUGAGGAAUACAUCGGAAUCUACUCUGUCGUGGGGGAUAACGUAGGGAAACUUACGCUAAUACCGCAUACGACCUACGGGUGAAAGCAGGGGACCUUCGGGCCUUGCGCGAUUGAAUGAGCCGAUGUCGGAUUAGCUAGUUGGCGGGGUAAAGGCCCACCAAGGCGACGAUCCGUAGCUGGUCUGAGGGGGUGAUCAGCCACACUGGAACUGAGACACGGUCCAGACUCCUACGGGAGGCAGCAGUGGGGAAUAUUGGACAAUGGGCGCAAGCCUGAUCCAGCCAUACCGCGUGGGUGAAGAAGGCCUUCGGGUUGUAAAGCCCUUUUGUUGGGAAAGAAAUCCAGCUGGCUAAUACCCGGUUGGGAUGACGGUACCCAAAGAAUAAGCACCGGCUAACUUCGUGCCAGCCGCCGCGGUAA
rnacentral:rRNA from 1 species